GACGAACGCUGGCGGCGUGCUUAACACAUGCAAGUCGAACGUGAUUUUUGUGGAAAUUCUUUCGGGAAUGGAAAUGAAAUGAAAGUGGCGAACGGGUGAGUAACACGUGAGCAACCUACCUUACACAGGGGGAUAGCCGUUGGAAACGACGAUUAAUACCGCAUGAGACCACAGAAUCGCAUGAUAUAGGGGUCAAAGAUUUAUCGGUGUAAGAAGGGCUCGCGUCUGAUUAGCUAGUUGGAAGGGUAAAGGCCUACCAAGGCGACGAUCAGUAGCCGGUCUGAGAGGAUGAACGGCCACAUUGGAACUGAGACACGGUCCAAACUCCUACGGGAGGCAGCAGUGGGGAAUAUUGCACAAUGGGGGGAACCCUGAUGCAGCGACGCCGCGUGAGCGAAGAAGGUUUUCGAAUCGUAAAGCUCUGUCCUAUGAGAAGAUAAUGACGGUAUACAUAGGAGGA
rnacentral:rRNA from 1 species